GGGGCUAUUUUAUAGGCGAGGGCUGAAAGGUUGUUUUGGACAAGUUGUCUGAUCGAUUUGAGCAUGAUAUGGCAAAACUUUCAGUCAAAAUCUUUGGGAUUGGAUAGUUACACCUACUUUAUUUGUUUUGGAGCCAGCUGUGGUGCCGUAGACACUUUUGAAUUUGAAAUGAGGGCGCAUGUAGGAUCAGGCUAGCUUCAGCUGAGGAGGCUUCGGAGUGAUCCGAUGCAUGUAGGCACCAAAUAAAAGUAGUCGGAGCCAAUUGUGUUCCCUAUGAUAAGGAUCGAUGGAGUCUAAAGUAUAUGUG
rnacentral:lncRNA from 1 species